GUCCCUGUAGCGCAAUGAAUGGCACGUUGGACUUCUAAUCCAAAUUCGUGGGUGUGAUUCCCACCUGAGAUG